CCCAAUUCUAUCUGGCCCAGACAAAUAUACAAAAAUAAAUAAAUAAAAAUAGUAGAGUCCAUUAACAACAGUUCAUAACAGCUAAAGUUCAUAACAGCUAUUGUUUAGAAUAAUGACGUUUCAAAAAUAGUUAUGUUUAGAAAAUUUAUUAUUUAGAAUAAUUUGUAUUUAGAACAAUUGUGGUUUUUCAGAAGAGUUAUUGUACAGCCCAAUUUUCGGCCCAAAUAACUCCCAAAUAAUUCCAGACCCAAACUAAUCAAAACCUAGCCCAAAACCCACUAAACAUAUGAGCCCAAUACCCACUAAAUCCAAAACCCAAUAGCAGCCCAAUUCAAACCCUAAAACAAAAAGAACCAAAAACCCUAGCUGCUGCCUCCCUGUCCCAUCCUCCACCGACGCCUGCAAGCACCGCCACUGUGCCACCGCCCCACUUGCGCAUGCAACAUUAAAAGAGGAGAAUAGACAGAUAUUAAAAAAAGGGGCAUGUAAAUGGCUAUUUAAAAGCCAAAUCAAGGACCAUUUUACGUUCGGUUCUUCUUGAAAUGAAAAACAUUAUUAGAUCUUAAAGAACACAAAACAAGUAACAGAGAUUUCAUCAACAUCAAAAGCAGAAAAAACGAAGCCUAAGGAAGAAAUCAAAACCAGAGAUCGAAAGGUGUUUAAAUUUUCUAAGUUUCGAAUCGGUUCUUUUUUCUUUUUUCUUUUUUUUACUUUUCUUUUCCUGAUUACAUGGUUGUGCAUAUAUAUAUUAUUAAAAUAAAGAGGAAAAUAAAAAAAUGAAAUAAAAAAUACACCUUUUUCGAAAGCGGUGGCCGGCGAUGGCGCCCGCGGCGGAGGACGGUGGCUGUUCGCCGGAGCCCAGACCGGACCAGGAGAACCUGCACAGAGAAAAAAGAAGCAUUUUUUUGAUAAACAAAAGGGAAGAAUGGAAUUUUUUAAAAAAAUUUUAGUUUAUAUAGAAGUAUAAAACGACAUAGUUUUAAGGGGAUUAUGGAGACCUCAAAACGGCGCCGUUUGGCCCUCGACCCGCGCAGGCGACCCGACCCGCUAGGGGAUCCUCGUGUUUUUGUCCAAAUGGGAUAUUUUCUCAAUAAGUCUCUCCGGUUUUCCCUGUUUUCGCAAUUAAGUUUUUAUUUAUUUCAAUUAUACCUUAAAAUUUACUUUGGUUUCAUUUUGGCCCCCAUUCGAACGACGUCGUUUAGGAGGGCGGGGAUUAUUUCAUUUUUGGACCCUGUAUGCUAUUCGCACCUUCAAAUCGGUCCCUUUCUUCUUUGUAUAUUUUCGAAUUGGCCCCAAAUUCUUUUUUAAGUUCAAUUUAGUCCCUAGUUUGGAUAUUUGACUCCUUUAUUAUUAAAUUAAUUUAUUAAUUUCUUGUAUUAUUAUGCUUUACUAUUAUAGUUAUUAUUAUUUUCUUUUUACUUUCGUUACCACUUUAUUAUUAUUACGUUAUUGUUAUUAUUUUCCUUAUUAUUACCAUUAAAGUUACAUUUCCUUUUCAUACUUAUUUACUUGUAUUAUUAUUUUUAUAUUACUGUAUCAUUAAUUUUAUGCUGUCAUUAUUACAGUAGUUAUUAUUAUUACUUUUAUUGUUUGUUUUUUGUUUUAUUACUAAUAUUAUUAUUAACAUUGUUACUAUUAAAUUUAUUCACUACCAUUAUCUCUAUUUACAUAUUAUUAUUAUUUUUACUACACUAUCAUCAUCCCCGUUUUUUUUUACUCACUAAUAUUAUUGAUAAGAACAUAUUUUAAUGUAUUAUUAUUCUUAUUAUCAUCAUUAUUAUAUUCAUACUUGUAUUUAUUCUAACGUCAUUUUUAUUAUUAUUCCCACUAUUAUUAGUAUUGCAUAUAUAUAUACAUAUCCUUUUGUUAUUAUUUUUUAUAUACAAACAUUUUGAAUAUUAUUACCCUCUUUUUGUUAAACUAAUUAAUUCCACAUAGUCAUUAUAUCAUCUUUUACAAAUGUUCAUAUUAUUGCUUUUGAUACUAUUGCACCCGUCAUUAUGUUAUUAUUCAUAUUAAUUUGCUUUUAUGUUUACUAUAAAUCACGAUUUUACUCAAAACAUUAAUAAUUUUCUCACAAAAGCAAAUAUUUCGUAUUUAGUAAUUCGAGACAAUCGUGCCCUAACUUACUGGGUCUCGACUUGUCUCAUUCAACCUAAAUAAACGGAAUAAUCUUUUAAAUAUGAGUCUAAAAAAUGCUUAUUUUCAGAGCUUCGAGGUGUGGUGCCCUAACUUAUCGGGUAUGACAUUUUAAUACCUCGAAAUAAGAUCUUUUGCAAAUAAAGGCAAUGUUCAGUGUUCGAAAAUUCGAGGAAACGUGCCCUAACUUACUGGGUUUCGAUUUUCCUCGUUAACCCUAACUAACCGAAUAUCCUUUUAAAAGAAGUUAAAAUACAUCGAUUUUAAAUAAAAGGCAAGCUUAUUCUCAAAAGUUCAAGAUGCCGUAUCCUAACUUACUGGAUAUGACGUAUCGUUGCCUCGAGACGAGAAUGUCUUUAACAUUUUAAUGUUUAUUUUACAAAAGAGGGAUCUUAUUUCAAAGUCUUUCAAGUUCUCAAUUUUCGACAAUUAAGACACUAAUUAAUCAACUAAGUACCAAUUUUGGGCGUAGCGAGGGUGCUAACCAUUCCUCGUGCGUAACUGACUCCCGAACUCAUUUUCUGAUUUUCGUAGACCAAAAAAAUUAUCGUUUUAGUAAAUCUUAACUUUUAUUAAAAUGAUUAAUUUAAGGUGAUCCGAUCACACCUCAUCAAAAAGGAUUGGUGGCGACUCCCAUUUUUCGUUUUCGUUUUCAAAUCCAAGUCGAUCCCCGUUUUCAAAAAAAGGGUUACGCAGAGUAACCUCUAAUUGAGAACAACUAUGUUGAGAAUAAUUUAUGUUUGGAACAAGUCAAAAUAACUAUUAUCCAGGAAUAACUCCCAUCCAAAAACAACCAUCAUCUUGUGUUUCAAAAGAUGUUUCACGAAAAAUGUUUCACAUGUGAUAGUACUCUAAAAUGACGUGUUUUUAUAUAUUAAUCAUGUGUUUAUUUUGAGCUUGAGCCUACUAAUUUGAGCUAUUUAUGUCUUUUUAUCUUUUAGGGACUAAAUUGGAGGCGAAAAGUAAAUUCAAGGGAAAAAGCGUCAAUUUGGAGAUUAAAUGGGCCAAUAUGCAACGUGGAACAAAUAUGGUGCCAAAAGUACGAACAUGGAAGGCACAAGGACUUAAAAGCAAAUAGAAGAGAUUUUAUUUUGGAAGACUCUAUUUUAUUUUAUUCUAUUAGGAUAAUUAAUAUUAAGAUAAUUAUUAGGAUUAUUCAAAUUUAGGAUUUUAUUUUAAUUAUCUUUGUUUAUCUUUAAUUAAAUGUAUUUAUCUUUUUAGAAUUUAAGUUCAAUUAGACUAUCUCCCUAGCACUAUAAAUAGGGGGUGAAGUGACUCUAUUUGGGGGCAUCUUUUUCUGUAAACACUCUUCCCCAAAAGUCUUUUGUUCUUUCAUAUUUCUUUUCAAUAAAAUUUCUUUUUCCAUAUUUUUAUUUAUUUGCUUUCCCUCCAUUAUCAUGAGCCACUAAAAAACCUUUCUAGCCAAAAGUUGUCAAUAUUUCCCCAAAAAGGAUUCUUGAAGCCUAGAAUCCGUACUUAGCCUUCUCGCCAAGUAUUCAUCGUUUCUCCACACUACGGGCUGACGCUUCCGUCCAUGGCCCUUAAGAAGUAAGCUUUUCAGUAUAUGCAAAGGCGGCCACUUUGUAUGUUUUGGAAGGACUGCAUAGUGGUUCGUUAACUUACUGCGUCAGAGGUUGGCGAGCCAAAGAGACAAAAUGGCGUGGGAUUCGCCAUUGAGAAGCGUUGAUCUAGCAUAGAUUACUGGCUAGAGUCAGGUUCCCUAAAAAUCGUAAAUCUAAUCUUUAGAGCUGGUGGUCGUAGGCGUCCUCUUCCACUAUAACUGGCUUACUUGAGUCGAGAAGGAUCAUCCAAAAGCCAAGGAUUGAGCCCAAGGCGGAAUGAGACAACCGGAGGCUGGAACUUUCCCAUAAGAAUUUCUUUUCUCUUAAAACUCACUUUAUUAUUUUUAUUAUUUUCGUAAUCAUAAUUUCAGUAAACUUUAAUUUCUGUUUUUAUUUUAUUUUCGCUUCCAAAAUUAAUUCUUAAAUUCUGUUUUUUAUUUUUUUCCAGGAACGCAGGUUUUUUUGGGCAUGAUUCUGUCCAGGAUUUCGAGAGACAAGCAUUCGUAUAAUCCGGUCCCUGAGGAUUCGACCCUACUUCCCCUUUACUAUUUCUUUUUCAUUAUUUUACAGGGAAUAGGAUAUUUUUGGUGCUCUCAAUAACCGCAUCAAAUUUUGGCACCGUUGCCGGGGAUCGGCAACAUACUAAUCUUGUUUUUCUUUGUUUUCUAUGACCAGAUCUGCUCCAGGUACUCUUGCGUUCGACUCAGAAAUCGAAAAGACUGCGAAAGCUAAUCUAAAGGAAACAAAACUAAGGAAAAAGCAGUCAGUGGUGGUUGGAACUCAAAGCAAUCCACCGUCAGAAAUUAGAAUCGACGACGAAGUAGAGUCUAGGGUUAACGAAAACCCUACUCAAAUGUUAGAAAGUAAAGAAGAAGAAGUCGAUUCCCCUGAAGAAGUGCUAAACACUAGGGUUGACGAAAACCCUAAUUUAACACCUCAACUUAUAGCUCAGACAAUUCGGCAACUGGCCGAAGCGCCGACAGAACAACCGCCACUAUGCAUCGCGUAUCCUACUAUGGAUACUAAUUUUGAAUUAAAGUCAGGCUUGAUUCAGCUACUGCCAACUUUCCGUGGAUUACAAAAUGAAAACCCUCACAAGCAUUUAAAAGAAUUCCAUAUGGUUUGUUUGAGUAUGAAACCUCAGGGGGUAACCGAGGAUCAAAUUAAAUUGCGCGCUUUCCCUUUUUCUCUAGCAGAUUCAGCCAGGGAAUGGUUAUUUUAUUUACCUCCUGGAUCCAUUACAACUUGGGCUGAUCUAUCUCGUUUAUUCCUUAACAGGUUUUUCCCUGCAUCACGAGCGACUGAGUUAAGAAGAGAAAUCGUGGGCAUAAGGCAAAAAGACGCAGAGACUCUAUACGACUAUUGGGAGCGAUUUAAGAAGUUGUGUGCAAGUUGCCCACAACACGGUAUAACGGAACAGUCUUUACUCCAGUACUUUUAUGAAGGCUUGAAACCCAUGAAGAUGAAUAUGGUAGAUGCCGCGAGUGGAGGAGCGUUAGUCAACAUGACUCCAUAACAAGCAAGAGACUUAAUCUCCACAAUGGCUGCGAAUUCCCAGCAAUUUUGAGCCAAUCUUGAACCCCUUAGAAGGGUUCACCAGCUAAGUAAUUCUACCAUUGAAGAUAGACUUGAUAGACUUACUAAUAUUGUGAAUUUCCUUGUUACAGAAAAAUCGAAACUAGCCCGAGUAUAUGGAAUAUGUGCUACACCUGAACAUACGACUGAUGCGUGUCCUAGUCUGUGUAACGAUUCUAUGGCCCAUUUAGAUGCUGUGGGAAAUUUUCCUGGGCCACCACAAAGACGAUACGACCCUUACGCCAAUACCUACAACCCAGGAUGGAGAGACCACCCUAAUUUUAGUUAUAGGGCUAAUCCAUGAUAUAACCAACCAUACCAAAAUCGAGCCCCACAACAGUCGCAAGAUUCAGGUAAUUCUUUAGAAACUUUGGUCAAUAAAUUAGCAACUAAUGUCUUUGAUUUUCAACAGCAAACUCUCAAUUUCCAAAGAGAAAUGAAGGGUUUUCAGCAGAAAACUGAAGCAUCCAUAAGGGAGUUGACCACAUCAAUUGAGAAAUUAAACUCUCAAGGGAAACUGCCAUCACAAACAAAACCAAACCUGAGGCAGAAUGCGAAUGCAGUAACGUUACGAAGUGGAAAGAUCCUAGAACCAGUUCCUGGCAAGAAUCUUGGUCAAGAAAUCGCCCAGGAAACUCCAGGAAAUGACGAACAGAUCCGAGCGAAACCCCCACUGCCGAAAAUCCAACCUCGAUUCCCAGGACGAUUAAAUCAGUGUCGAAAAAGUAAGGAAGACAAGGAGAUCCUCGAAAUAUUCAGGAAUGUUGAGAUCAACUUACCACUGUUAGAUGCCAUUAGACAAAUUCCGCGGUAUGCCAAGUUCCUCAAAGAACUUUGCACCAACAAACGAAAACUAGGAGGUAAUGAAAAGGUAAGUGUUUGUGAGAAUGUUUCCGCAGUUCUACAGCGAAAAAUGCCGGUUAAAUGCAAAGAUAGGGGUAUGUUCGCUAUUCCAUACAAAAUUGGCCAUUUGGUAAUUAAGAAGGCUAUGUGUGAUCUAGGGGCCUCAAUAAAUGCAAUGCCUUAUUCUAUUUAUGAAUCACUUAACGCGGGUUUUUUGACAAAAACAGGUGUUAUUAUUCAAUUGGCAGACAGGUCUAUUGUGCAUCCUGAAGGAGUCCUCGAGGAUGUCUUGGUAAAAGUUAAUGAACUUAUUUUCCCUGCAGAUUUCUACGUAAUUAAUAUGGAGGACGACAACACUGCUGGAUCUUCAGACCUCCUGUUGGGCCGACCCUUCCUUAGUACUGCUAGUACCAAGAUCGAUGUCUGAAGCGGCACUCUUACGAUGGAAUUUGAUGGAGAGAUCGUGAAAUUCAAUGUUUACGAUGCCAUUAGCCAUCCAAGUGAAAUCUUGAGCGUAAACCGUGUCGACCUGAUUGACUCAUUAGUGGAUGAGACUUUUGAGUCAACUUAUGAAGACGAAUCUGAAUAUAGAUAUGAUGAUUAUGAAUUUGUUAAGACAUUAUUAUCACCAUCAGAAACUAAACUUCUACCUUCUGUUGUGCAGGCUCCAGAUUUGGAAUUGAAACCACUUCCCGCGCAUCUCAAGUAUGCAUUUUUAGGAAAAGGUAAUACCUUACCCAUUAUAAUAUCAAAUAAACUCUCUAAACCCUAGGAGGAAAGUUUGAUCCAGGUACUAAAGAGUCAUAAGGAGGCGAUUGGCUGGACCAUUGCUGACUUGAAAGGGAUAAGCCCCUUGACAUGCACCCACAAGAUUUACUUGGAGGAGAACACGAAACCAAGGAAAGAGGCACAAAGACGCUUAAACCCGAAUAUGAUGGAGGUGGUGAAAAAAGAAAUAAUUAAGCUGCUGGAUACUGACAUCAUUUUCCCCAUUUCUGACAGCAGAUGGGUAAGUCCGGUACAAGUCGUAACCAAAAAAAUGGGCGUGACAGUAAAGAAAAAUGCUGAGGGCGACUUAGUACCGGUCCAAGUGCAGAACGGGUGGCGUGUCUGCAUCGAUUACAGGAAGUUGAACGCUUAUACUAGAAAAGAUCAUUUCCCUCUUCCUUUUAUAGAUCAAAUGCUUGAACGUUUAGCUGGUAAAACUCACUUUUGUUGUCUUGAUGGAUAUUCAGGUUUCUUCCAGAUCCCUGUUGCGCCAGAAGACCAGGAAAAGACCACUUUUACAUACCCGUUCGACACGUUUGCAUACAGGAUGAUGCUAUUUGGACUUUGCAACGCUCCAGCUACCUUCCAGAGAUGCAUGAUGAGUAUAUUUUCUGAAUAUGUAGAAAAAAUUAUUGAAGUUUUUAUGGAUGAUUUUACCGUGUAUGGAAACUGUUUUACUGAAUGCCUUGAAAACCUUACGAUAAUUUUGAACAGGUGCAUAGAAUUUAAUCUUGCCUCGAACUAUGAAAAGUGUCAUUUUAUAGUAGACAAAGGUUUGAUUCUAGGUCAUAUAGUCUCAUCUAAGGGAAUUGAGGUUGAUAAGGCCAAAAUUGACAUUAUAAAUUCUUUGCCAUAUCCCUCUACUGUUAGAGAGAUACGUUCUUUUCUUGGCCAUGCAGGAUUUUAUAGGCGUUUUAUAAAAAACUUCUCAAAAAUAGCUGAACCAUUGUGUGAGCUGUUGCAGAAAGACAAAAAAUUUGAGUUUGACUCAAAAUGCAAUGAGGCUUUUGAUACACUUAAGCAAAAGUUGGUAACCGCCCCUAUAGUACAAGCACCAGACUGGAACUAUCCCUUUGAAAUUAUGUGCGAUGCAAGUGAACGUAGCGUGGGAGCCGUAUUGGGACAAAAGAUAGCGAAAGAGCCUCAUGUCAUCUGUUACGCCUCAAAGACCCUAGAUGCUGCACAAAGCAACUACACAACCACAGAAAAAGAAAUUUUAGCUAUUGUGUUUGCUUUAGAUAAAUUUCGAUCAUAUUUACUGGGAUCUAAGGUGAUUAUUUUUCUGACCAUGCAGCUCUUAGGUACUUAAUCGCAAAGAAGGAAGCAAAGCCAAGGCUCAUUAGGUGGAUUUUACUGCUCCAAGAAUUUGACAUCGAGAUUCGUGACAAAAAGGAGUGUGAAAACCUAGUGGCCGACCACUUGAGUAGGAUAAAAACUCCAUUUGAUGAUGAUCCCAUAAAGGAUGAGUUCCCUGACAAAAGCUUAUUCUCAACCGAGGCUUACUAUCCGUGGUAUGCAGACAUAGUUAAUCUCUUAACCACGGGAUCGCUGCCCACUGAGUUAGCUCAAUCCGUAAAAAAGAAGCUUAGACGCGAAGCUCGGAAUUACACAUGGGACGAUCCAUACUUGUGGAAACAUUGCUCAAAUCAGAUAAUACGACGAUGUGUUCCAGAAACCGAGGUAACCUCUAUCCUUACUUUUUGUCACACAGAAGCUUGUGGAGGUCACUUUGGCCUUAAGCGGACAGCUCACAAGGUAUUGGAGUGUGGGCUAUAUUGGCCUACAAUCUUUAGCGACGCGUUUAACUUCUAUAAGUCUUGCGAUAAAUGUCAGCAUACAGGUAAUAUCACUAGAUGAAAUCAAAUGCCCCUAUCCCCAAUUCAUGUAUGUGAGAUUUUUGAUGUAUGGGGCAUUGAUUUCAUGGGCCCCUUUAUUUCUUCGUUUGGAAACGUAUAUAUACUUCUUGCAGUAGACUAUGUUUCUAAGUGGAUAGAAGCAAAGCCUACUCGCAAUGAUAAUGCUAAUACUGUUGUGGAGUUUCUAAAACAAACUAUUUUUUCUAGGUUUGGAACACCUCGAGCUUUGAUCAGUGAUCGUGGUACCCACUUUUGCAACAAGGUCAUGGAGGCACUAUUAUCAAAAUAUGGGGUUCAUCAUCGUAUAGCAACAGCCUACCAUCCCCAAACGAACGGCCUAGCAGAGGUUUCAAACAGGGAGAUCAAGUCAAUUUUGGAAAAAACGGUUCGACCCAACCGUAAGGAUUGGAGUCUUCGGCUCAAUGACGCGCUUUGGGCCUAUCGGACGGCGUAUAAGGGACCAAUUGGCAUGACCCCGUAUCGACUUGUUCUUGCCAAAGCAUGUCAUCUACUAGUAGAGUUGGAGCAUAAAGCUUAUUGGGCUAUUCGACAAUGUAACAUGGAGUUAGAGCCCGCGGGGAAGGCAAGGAAAUUGGACAUUCAAGAAUUGGAGGAAAUUCGCAAUGAUGCCUACGAGAAUGCUCGAAUUUAUAAAGACAAAACAAAGAUGUUUCAUGACAAAAAUAUAGUUCAGAAGCAUUUCUCAGUAGGACAAAGAGUUUUGCUUUAUAACUCCGUAUUAAAGCUAUUCCCAGGUAAGCUUCGAUCUCGGUGGCAAGGACCUUUUGUUGUGACUGAAGUAUUUACAAAUGGCGCAGUUGAAAUAGAGAGUGAAGAAUCAGGAAAACGGUUCACAGUCAAUGGUCAACGGCUGAAGCCAUUUUACGAGAAUUUCCAGGCCCACACGGUCGAGAAAAUUCAAUUAGAACCACCAUAAAACCGUUCAAGGCGUCGAGCUAACGGCGUUAAACAAGCGCUUGUUGGGAGGCAACCCAAUCUUUAUUUUUAUUUUUUUUAUUUUUUUAUUUUUUUAUUUAUUAUUUUCUUUUAUUUUUAUUUUAUUUUAGUUAAAUAUUAAUAAAUUCCUCUUCUUCCAUCUAGGUGAAAUGAAGCGAAAAUACAAAGAAAAAAAAGACAGAAAGUGUGCACCAAAACAACCUUAUCCAUGCUGCCAAAUAGUUCUAUUCCAGCCCAGAAUGCAAUAUCUCUGCAGCCAAACAGUCCUAUUCCAGCCUUAGAAUCCCCAAAACCUGCAGCCAAACACCCCUUUUCAGCAAAUAAAACCCCCAAACCUUACAUUUUUUCCCCCAAAUUUCUCCAUAACUGCCGACUCCUUUCUCCUCCACCAUCCACCGCCGAUUUCUUAGCCACUAUGGUGAGAGCCCGAAGCCGAACCAACAUUGCACACGUCACCCACCCCGUCUCCACCUCUUGCCGCUUCGCCAUCUUCUUCUCCACCAUGUGCGCCAACCGACGGUAACUACAUAAGGAGUUUUUCUAAACUUUUUUUUUCUCCACCUAUUUGUUUUCUUUUUACUUUCACAUCGAGGACUAUGUGUUUUAAGUGGGGGGGAGGCAUUCUUCGUUGUUACUAUUAUUAUCUGCUAUUCUUGCUGUCAUAUUGUUGUUUUUGUUGUUUUGUGCUCGUUUCUGCCAUUUAUUUUAAGAAUAUCCUGCUGCUUUUCAUGCCUAAGAUUUUACCAGGAAUUGCCUACUGUUUGACUUUCAUGCAUGAUUCUUACCUUCUAAGGAAGUUAUGAUUUUUCCCAUAAUUGAUUCCAUCUCCACUGUUUUAUUUUUAUUAGGCUAAAAAUAAUUGUGAUUAAUAGGGUUAAUUCUAUCUUGCUUUUCGUAAAAUUGAUCAAGUUUAAUAUAAAGUGAACACUUAAAAUGAUUGCAUGCUUAAUUAAUGUUCAUGGCUAUUAGGUGAUUAUUGAAACUUAUUUUUGACACUAAAAUUUUUUUCUUUCCUGAGUUCUCAAGAAUUUUAAAUAUCGUUUAAUUUUCAAUAAAUGUUUUCCAUGGUUAUGAGUACAGCUUAGAUCGUGACUGACUGAGUAACCGAGGUAGGGUGCUUGGGUUGUCAUUCUACUUCGCGUCAAAAGGUUGUGUGACGUGACAAGUAAAACUCUGCUAGCCGAGGUUAUGAGUAUGGCUCAAAUCGUGACUGACUGAGUAACCAGGGUAGGGUGCUUGGGUUGUCAUUCUACUUCGCGUCAAAAGGUUGUGUGACGUGUUGGGUAAAACUCCGCUAACCGGAAAUAAAUAAUUUUAGGAGUAUGUUGGGCUGAGUAACCGGGGUGGGGUGCUUGGGUUGUCAUCUCUCUUCGCGUCAAAAGGUUUAAUAUAUUCCUAAGUAAAUAAAUAAUAAUAAAAUUUUAAAAAAAUAAAAAAAUCAAAAAAGGAAAAAAAAAGAAGAAAAAAAUAAGUACUAAUAAAGUUGCACUUCGAGGACUAAAGGAGGAAAUAAUUAAGGUGUCUUAGUAGGUUUGGUAAUUUACCUAAAUGGCAUAACUCAAGUCGAUCUUAAUUUUUGUGUGAAAUAAUUGGAAUACUUUUUCUGUUUUACUUAAAGCAAGCUUAGAGGUCUCUUUAUUUUUCAUAUGCGUUUUUAACUAAUUUUUAUGAAACUUUGGAGUGGUAUUUCUUUUAUGGCAAAAUCUAGCUUUCACAGUCGAUAGGAACCAUACUUGAGGGCAAGCAUGGGCUAAGUAGGGGGAAAUUUGAUAAUACUCUAAAAUGACGUGUUUUUAUAUAUUAAUCAUGUGUUUAUUUUGGGCUUGAGCCUAUUAAUUUGAGCUAUUUAUGUCUUUUUAUCUUUUAGGGACUAAAUUGGAGGCGAAAAAUAAAUUCAAGGGAAAAAACGUCAAUUUGGAGAUUAAAUGGGCCAAUAUGCAACGUGGGACAAAUAUGGUGCCAAAAGUGUGAACAUGGAAGGCACAAGGACUUAAAAGCUAAUAGAAGAGAUUUUAUUUUGGAAGACUCUAUUUUAUUUUAUUCUAUUAGGAUAAUUAAUAUUAAGAUAAUUAUUAGGAUUAUUCAAAUUUAGGAUUUUAUUUUAAUUAUCUUUGUUUAUCUUUAAUUAAAUGUAUUUAUCUUUUUAGAAUUUAAGUUCAAUUAGACUAUCUCCCUAGAACUAUAAAUAGGGGGUGAAGUGACUCUAUUUGGGGGCAUCUUUUUCUGUAAACACUCUUCCCCAAAAGUCUUUUGUUCUUUCAUAUUUCUUUUCAAUAAAAUUUCUUUUUCCAUAUUUUUAUUUAUUUGCUUUUCUUCUAUUAUCAUGAGCCACUAAAAAACCCUUCUAGCCAAAAGUUGUCAAUAUUUCCCCAAAAAGGGUUCUUGAGGCCUAGAAUCCGUACUUAGCCUUCUCGCCAAGUAUUCAUCAUUUCUCCGCACUACGGGCUGACGCUUCUGUCCAUGGCCCUUAAGAAGUAAGCUUUUCAGCAUAUACAAAGGCAGCCGCUCUGUAUGUUUUGGAAGGACUGCAUAGUCGGUUCGUUAACUUACUGCGUCAGAGGUUGGCGAGCCAAAGAGACAAAAUGGCGUGGGAUUCGCCAUUGAGAAGCGUUGAUCUAGCAUAGAUUACUGGCUAGAGUCAGGUUCCCUAAAAAUCGUAAAUCUAAUCUUUGGAGCUGGUGGUCGUAGGCGUCCUCUUCCACUAUAACUAGCUUACUUGAGUCGAGAAGGAUCAUCCAAAAGCCAAGGAUUGAGCCCAAGGCGGAAUGAGACAACCGGAGGCUGGAACUUUCCCAUAAGAAUUUCUUUUCUCUUAAAACUCUCUUUAUUAUUUUUAUUAUUUUCGUAAUCAUAAUUUCAGUAAACUUUAAAUUAUGUUUUUAUUUUAUUUUCGCUUUCAAAAUCAAUUCUUAAAUUCUGUUUUUAUUUUUUUUCCAGGAACGCAGGUUUUCUUGGGCACGAUUCUGCCCAGGAUUUCGAGAGACAAGCAUUCGUAUAAUCCGGUCCUUGAGGAUUCGACCCUACUUCCCCUUUACUAUUUCUUUUUCAUUAUUUUACAAGGAAUAGGAUAUUUUUGGUGCUCUCAACGACCGCAUCAACAUGGUACCGCUUCACCAAAGUAGAAGUAGAGGUAACCUCGGAAUAUGAUAAGAUUCUUGGAUUAUCUUCACUGUUGGGAUAUGUGGAGAGCUUACCUUGGUAGAUCAGAUAUGGAGGUAGUUAAAAGUUUUCCUCUAACAUUGGCUGUUUUUCUGUUCUUUUAGAAAUAUAGCGAAUUCUUCUUCACUAUUCACCAUUAUCAUCACCAACAAAAACUCUUCAUCAUCACAUCUUAACCAUUAUUGUCAUCGUAAUUAAAAUUUCAUUAUUCCUAUUAAUUGUCGACUUUGUAACUCCUAUUUUUUGAGACAUUGUAAGAAGGAGUCCUUCACAAUUGAUGAAAGGACUUUUGACACUUAGAAUUCUGUCUCUUAAAGUUCUCUUUAAAAUUCUCUCAAUUUAUUUACUUUGCUUAGCUUUAUCUUCAACCACUUUUCCCUUUCUCCACCUUACCAAUCACCACCUGUCACUCAUUGUGUUCAGUGUUACCAAAUCUGCUCCAAUCUUCCUAUAUGCUUUCUUCCGAAACAUCUCAUUCACUUACUUAUAAUGUUUUGUCUCUCCAUCAAAACAAACAUUGUCUUAUUACUUGGAUGGCUGUCUUGAAUGGUUUUCCACAUGAAGAUAAAUAUAUACUUAACCGAGCAAAACAAGGAUGGUGCACUUGGUUAAACAAAUAUAUAUAUAUAUAUGAGUUAUGUGUGAUUUUAGAAAGAUUUUUGAUUUCGUGGUUUUUGUUUUAGAAGAAUUUAUUAAGAAAAGUAGUUUUGAAAACGAGGUUUCGAGACCUCAAUUUUAUAAACCGAGCCAUAAAUAUUUUUAUAAAUACUUGCGGAGUGUCAAUAAGCUAGUAUUAAAGUUUCGUUAGAAAAUUUUAACGUUUUGAUAGUUAAUUAGUUAAAAAGGACUAAAUUGAAUAAGGUGUAAAAUUUGCUAAAGUGGUUAAAUUGCUUAAGUGUUUAAUAAGGGAGGACUAAAAGGGAAAAUUAGCCUAAAAUAGAAGGCUUGGAUGGCAUGGGUGUAGAAAAAUCAAGAAAUUUGAUGAAAUAAGGGAAAAAUUGGAAAUUUUGUAAAAUAAACAAAUAAAACAAUAAUUAAAAGAUUUUCUAGACAUUUCAUCAUCAAUCUUCAGCCAAAAACAACCAUAGAAGAGUCUCUCUAAGCUGGUUUUUCAUAUUUUUGCUAUAAAUCAAGAGCCCGUUGACAAACGUGAAAAAGAGAAAAUAGCAGAAUAGUCCCUAAAACUAUUACAAAUUCCACCAUAUAACCCAGGUAAGUUCGUACGGUUAAAUUUUAAUGUUAGAUGUUAAUUUAUAAAUGGUAUUUUGUAUUUAUUUGUAUCAUUUUUUGAAAAUAAAAUUAUUAUUAAAUUUACAGAAUUGAAUCAAGUGUUCGAAGUGAAUGGAACGCAGGAUUGAGUACAAUUGUUCAGUGUAAAAGGGGAAUUGAUGGAAAAAUUUCCCACAUAAAUUGAGGUUCAGCAUUUGUUGCAAACACUCGUGUUUGCUUUCCGUUUAGCUUUCAUGAGCUUCAGUUACCUCAUAUGAGUUUCUGUUUAACCUUAAUGGGUUUUCGUUUAGCUCUUUGAGCUUUAGUAUAACUCUUCUGGGUUUCAGUUUAGCUCUUUUGAGCUUUAGAUUAACCCUUAUGGGUUUCCGUUUAGCUCCUAUGAGCUUCCGUUCAACCCUUAUGAGUUUUCGUUUAGCACUUAUGUGCUUCUGUGCAGCCUUCGGGCUUCUGUUUACGAUGUACUCAAAUCCAUAAGUCGUUCUUUGAUUGAGAAAAAUUUGUAAGUGCUAUAUGGAAUUAAUGUGGAAGAAUUUAAGUUAUUAUUGAUAUCGAGCUCAAAUAAGCGCAUUCAUCGAUUAAAGUUGUGAUUGGCAGGAAAUGUGUAAUGAAUGAUUUACUUAAAUGAAUUGUUACAGUAUGUUCGGUAAGAUUUAUAUAUAAAGCCAACGAACUUACUAAGCUUCAUUAAGCUUACUUGUGUUGUUCAAUAUUCUUUGUAGAUUUUCAAGAAGUUCGAAGGAUCGGAUCAACACAUCUGGUCACACUAUCCAGAUUACUUCGGUAGAUUUUGUUGUACAUUUUAUGGUUUAUAUGGCAUGUAUAGGGAUGGAUUGAAAAGGAUUAACCUUGAAGUAUAAUUAUGAAUGACAAUUAUAUAUAUAUGUGUGUGUGUUUGUAUGUAUGUAUAUAAUUAGGAGUAGGUUUUGGUAAAUCAAUGAAAGAAGUUAGUUUGGCAAAUUUAGACAAUUGAUUUUUGUGUUAACAUAUUAUGUUAAAUACAUGUUUUGGCUUGAAUUGAUUGCUUGGUUGAGAUAUAUAUGUGUAUUUCAAUGUUGUGUGCAAGUGGAUAAUAAAAGGGUGAGAAAAAUGGCCUUAAAUUUGCCCACACCGGCAGAGAGUGUGUCUCAGCCGUGUGUCACACACGGCCUGACACUUGGGCAUGUGUUCUGGCCUUGUGUCACCUACACUUAAAUUUCAAAACAGAAUGCCUAGGUUUUUGCAUACAGCUUAGCACACGGACUUGUGGCUUGACCGCGUGACCUCUACACCCUGCACACGACCUAGUACACGGGCAUGUGGUUAGCCGUGUGACCCAAGUUAGUAAGCACCCUAAUUUGGACACAGGCUGGGACACAGCCGUGUGCCUCACAUCUAAAGCCCACACAGCCUAAGACAUCUCCUGGCCAUGUGAGCCACACGGGCGUGUGUCCCCUACUCUUAACAAAAAUUUUAAAAUUUUGGGAAAAAUUUCCUGAGUGUCUAGUUUAAUCUCGAUUCACUUCUAAGGUGUAUUUUGAGCCUCGAGUGCCCAUCUAAGGGACAAUAUGAGUGUUAUAUGAUCGAUUCUUGAUUUGUAUAAUAAAAGUAAUGAAAUAUUCGUACUUAGUUCAUAAAGUUUAGUAAUGCUCCGUAACCUUAUUCCGGUGAUGGAUAAGGGUUAAGGGUGUUACAUUGAAAGAGCAUAGAAAUUGUUGUCGUGAAAGUAUGACAUUUGAAAGUUCUCUUUAAAAUUCUCCCAGUUUAUUUACUUUGCUUAGCUUUAUCUUCAACCACUUUUCCCUUUCUCCACGAUACCAAUCACCACCUAUCACUGAGUUUAGUGUUACUAAUGUCGUAACCAUUUUUUUGAAAAACAGGAACUGACUUGGAUUUUGGAAAUGAAAACGAAAAAACGAGAGUUGCCACCAAUCAUUUUUGAUGAGGUGCAAUCGGGUCACCUUAAAUUAAUCAUUUUAAUAAAAAUUAAGAUUUACUAAAACGAUAAUUUUUUUUUUGGUCUAUGAAAAUCAGAAAAUGAGUUCGAGAGUCUGUUACGUACGAGGAAAGAUUAGCACCCUCGUGACGCCCAAAAAUUGGUACCUAGUUGAUUAAUUAGUGUCUUAGUGUCGAAACUUUAAAAACUUGAAAGACUCUAAAAAUAUGAUCCCUCUUUUGUAGAAAUGCUUGAAUGUUAAAGACCUUCUCGUCUCGAAAUAUUAGAAUGUCACAUCCAGUAAGUUAGGACGCAACAUCUUGAAAUCCCAAGCGCAAACUUGUCUUUGAUUUUAUUGAAAUUUCGUGUAUAUAAAAAGAAAAUCGAAAGGAUAUUUGGCUAUUUAGAAUCAACGAAAAAACCAAAACCCCGUAAGUUAGGGCACGAUUCUUCGACGUUCCAAAACGCGAAAUAUUGCCUUAUUUUAAAAUUUUUUAUUAUUAAAUAAUAGCGAAUUCAAUAUUUAAACAAAGGAUGCUUAUUUUGUUUGAAAUAAAAUAAAGCGAUCUAAGUUGGAGGAAUGUAUUGGGCUUAAUUCACAAUGCGAUGCCAUGGAAUAAAAAUGUAAUAAUGGGCAUGGAAUAAUAAUACAUGAACAAAAA
rnacentral:lncRNA from 1 species